GAUGAACGCUAGCUACAGGCUUAACACAUGCAAGUCGAGGGGAAACGAUAUUGGAAGCUUGCUUCUGAUAGGCGUCGACCGGCGCACGGGUGAGUAACGCGUAUCCAACCUGCCCAUCACUUGGGGAUAACCUUGUGAAAGUAAGACUAAUACCCAAUGACGUCUCUAGAAGACAUCUGAAAGAGAUUAAAGAUUUAUCGGUGAUGGAUGGGGAUGCGUCUGAUUAGCUUGUUGGCGGGGUAACGGCCCACCAAGGCGACGAUCAGUAGGGGUUCUGAGAGGAAGGUCCCCCACAUUGGAACUGAGACACGGUCCAAACUCCUACGGGAGGCAGCAGUGAGGAAUAUUGGUCAAUGGACGAGAGUCUGAACCAGCCAAGUAGCGUGCAGGAUGACGGCCCUAUGGGUUGUAAACUGCUUUUAUAAGGGAAUAAAGUGGGAGUCGUGACUCUUUUUGCAUGUACCUUAUGAAUAGGACCGGCUAAUUCCGUGCCAGCAGCCG
rnacentral:rRNA from 1 species